rnacentral:rRNA from 1 species
UACGUAGGGUGCAAGCGUUGUCCGGAAUUAUUGGGCGUAAAGAGCUCGUAGGCGGUUUGUUGCGUCGGCUGUGAAAUCCCGAGGCUCAACCUCGGGUCUGCAGUCGAUACGAGCAAACUAGAGUACUGCAGGGGAGACUGGAAUUCCUGGUGUAGCGGUGAAAUGCGCAGAUAUCAGGAGGAACACCGGUGGCGAAGGCGGGUCUCUGGGCAGUAACUGACGCUGAGGAGCGAAAGCGUGGGGAGCGAACAGG